rnacentral:rRNA from 1 species
UACGUAGGGGGCAAGCGUUGUCCGGAAUCAUUGGGCGUAAAGCGCGUGUAGGCGGCCUGAAUAGUCUGGUGUGAAAUCUUGCGGCUCAACCGCAAGCGGUCACUGGAUACUGUCAGGCUUGAAUCCGGAAGAGGAGUGUGGAAUUCCUGGUGUAGCGGUGGAAUGCGCAGAUAUCUGGAGGAAUACCGGUGGCGAAGGCGGCAUCCUGGACCGACAUUGACGCUGAGGAGCGAAAGCUAGGGGAGCAAACGGG